UACGAAGGGGGCUAGCGUUGCUCGGAAUUACUGGGCGUAAAGCGCACGUAGGCGGAUUGUUAAGUCAGGGGUGAAAUCCUGGAGCUCAACUCCAGAACUGCCUUUGAUACUGAGGAUCUUGAGUUCGGGAGAGGUGAGUGGAACUGCGAGUGUAGAGGUGAAAUUCGUAGAUAUUCGCAAGAACACCAGUGGCGAAGGCGGCUCACUGGCCCGAUACUGACGCUGAGGCACGAAAGCGUGGGGAGCAAACAGGG
rnacentral:rRNA from 1 species